rnacentral:lncRNA from 1 species
AUUCUGUUGUAGCAACACAAAACAAACUAAGACAGGUACCAUCUGCAAACUCCCCUACAAAUACUUUUAAAUUGCCCAUGCAUUACUAAACUCUGGUAAGAUCAGAUUUAUUUGGAGAAAACAGAAAUCCCACAACCCAAAGGAUGGGAUUUUACAUCAAGACAUCUCCCAGGUAAUAAGUCUACAGAUUACAAAUCAUUUUCAUAGAAGAUAUUUUUGUACAAGUUUUACAUGUAUUCAGGAGCGGGACGUUAAUCAAUCCCUGUUUCUAUUUUAAUAGGGGGGAUAAGGUAGGGGAGAGGGAGAAACAGUUUUGGAUAUAACUAUUUGGAAGGAGAGUAGACAUGAAGAGGGCAAACCCUAGCUUUUCAUUUUCUACAAU